CCUACGUGGGGCAGCAGUGGGGAAUAUUGGGCAAUGGAGGAAACUCUGACCCAGCAAUGCCGCGUGAAUGAAGAAGGUCUUCGGAUUGUAAAGUUCUUUAGUCAGGGAAGAAUAAAUGACGGUACCAAAGGAAUAAGCCCCGGCUAACUACGUGCCAGCAGCCGCGGUAAUACGUAGGGGGCAAGCGUUGUUCGGAAUGACUGGGCGUAAAGGGUGUGUAGGUGGUUUGAUAAGUUAGAUGUGUAAUACCCAGGGCUUAACUCGGGUGCUGCAUCUAAAACUGUUAGACUUGAGUACUGGAGAGGAUAGUGGAAUUCCUAGUGUAGCGGUGGAAUGCGUAGAUAUUAGGAGGAACAUCAGUGGCGAAGGCGACUAUCUGGACAGCAACUGACACUGAGGCACGAAAGCGUGGGGAGCAAACAGGAUUAGAUACCCCUGUAGUC
rnacentral:rRNA from 1 species